UGGGGAAUAUUGGGCAAUGGGGGAAACCCUGACCCAGCAACGCCGCGUGAGGGAAGAAGGUUUUCGGAUUGUAAACCUCUGUCCUUGGUGAAGAGCAGAAGACGGUAGCCAAGGAGGAAGCCCCGGCUAACUACGUGCCAGCAGCCGCGGUAAUACGUAGGGUGCAAGCGUUAAUCGGAAUUACUGGGCGUAAAGCGUGCGCAGGCGGCCAUGCAAGACAGAUGUGAAAUCCCCGGGCUCAACCUGGGAACUGCAUUUGUGACUGCAUGGCUCGAGUACGGCAGAGGGGGAUGGAAUUCCGCGUGUAGCAGUGAAAUGCGUAGAUAUGCGGAGGAACACCGAUGGCGAAGGCAAUCCCCUGGGCCUGUACUGACGCUCAUGCACAAAAGCGUGGGGAGCAAACAGGAUUAGAUACCCUGGUAGUCCACGCCCUAAACGAUGUCAACUGGUUGUUGGGAGAGUUUCUUCUCAGUAACGAAGCUAACGCGUGAAGUUGACCGCCUGGGGAGUACGGCCGCAAGGUUG
rnacentral:rRNA from 1 species